rnacentral:rRNA from 1 species
UACGUAGGGUGCGAGCGUUGUCCGGAAUUAUUGGGCGUAAAGGGCUCGUAGGCGGUUUGUCGCGUCGGGAGUGAAAACCAGGUGCUUAACACCUGGCUUGCUUUCGAUACGGGCAGACUAGAGGUAUUCAGGGGAGAACGGAAUUCCUGGUGUAGCGGUGAAAUGCGCAGAUAUCAGGAGGAACACCCAUGGCGAAGGCAGCAGACUGGGCGUUUCCUGACGCUGAGGCGCGAAAGCGUGGGUAGCAAACAGG